UUGCUGUGGUAUUAUGACUAUACAAAGGUAUUGUAAUAAGACUUUAAAUGGGUGCUAAGAGAAUGGUUUAACAAGGAUUGACUUUCUUGACUCUUUAAAUAAAAGUUGAUUUAAAAAUGAAAAAGUUUUUAUUACAUUUUGGGACAAGAAGACCCUAUGAAUUUUGCUUUACAAGUUUUUGUAAAUAUUUAUAAUUAUAAAUAAGAUUUUUAAGGUUAGUUGGGGUGAUUUUAAAAGAUUGUUGAUCUUUUUAAGGAAUUAUAAAGUAGAUCCAUUAAUAAUGGAUGUUUGGGAAAAUACUCUAGGGAUAACAGCGUAAUAACUUUGGAUAGAUCUUAUAGAUAAAGUAGUUUGCGACCUCGAUGUUGGAUUAAGAUUCUUUUGAGAUGAAGAAGUCUGGAAAGAAGGCUCAACUUUUAAAGUCUUACUUGAU
rnacentral:rRNA from 1 species